CCUACGGGAGGCAGCAGUGGGGAAUUUUCCGCAAUGGGCGAAAGCCUGACGGAGCAAUACCGCGUGAGGGACGAAGGCUUUUGGGUCGUAAACCUCUUUUCCCUGAGAAGAAGAUCUGACGGUAUCAGGGGAAUCAGCAUCGGCUAACUUCGUGCCAGCAGCCGCGGUAAUACGAGGGAUGCAAGCGUUAUCCGGAAUUAUUGGGCGUAAAGCGUCCGCAGGUGGCUCUGUAAGUCUGUCGUUAAAGAAUGGGGCUCAACCCCAUACAGGCGAUGGAAACUACAAGGCUAGAGUUUGGUAGGGGUCACGGGAAUUCCUAGUGUAGCGGUGAAAUGCGUAGAUAUUAGGAAGAACACCAGCGGCGAAAGCGCGUGACUGGGCCAGUACUGACACUCAUGGACGAAAGCUAGGGGAGCGAAAGGGAUUAGAUACCCCUGUAGUCCUAGCCGUAAACGAUGAUAACUAGGUGUUGCCCGUAUCGACCCGGGCAGUGCGUACGCACGACGUAGUUAUCGCCGUGGGAGUACGCACGCAGUGUGAACGUACAAGAAGUAGACGGCGUGAGACGUGCCGAACGGACGACGACGAGGGAGGUAGG
rnacentral:rRNA from 1 species